rnacentral:lncRNA from 1 species
AUGUUUUUACCAUUAUAUCUGUAUCCAAUAUGUGGUAAGGACUCAAUUAAAAUUGACUUCAUGCACAGGAGUUCACCAUGCACAGGAGUUCACCAUGCACAGGAGUUUACCAUGCACGGGAGUUCACCACUCACGGGAGUUCACCACGCACUGGAGUUCACCACGCUCAAGAGUUCACCACGCACAGGAGUUCACCACGCACAGGAGUUCACCACGCACAGGAGUUCACCACGCACUGGAGAUCACCAUGCACUGGAGAUCACCAUGCACGGGAGUUCACCACGCAUGGGAGUUCACCACGCACUGGAGUUCACCACGCUCAAGAGUUCACCACGCACAGGAGUUCACCACCCACAGGAGUUCACCACGCACAGGAGUUCACCACGCUCAAGAGUUCACCACGCACAGGAGUUCACCACGCACAGGAGUUCACCACGCACAGGAGUUCACCACGCACAGGAGUUCACCACGCACAGGAGUUCACCAUGCACUGGAGAUCACCAUGCACGGGAGUUCACCACGCAUGGGAGUUCACCACGCACUGGAGUUCACCACGCUCAAGAGUUCACCACGCACAGGAGUUCACCACCCACAGGAGUUCACCACGCACAGGAGUUCACCACGCACUGGAGUUCACCACGCACUGGAGAUCACCAUGCACAGGAGUUCACCAUGCACAGGAGUUCACCAUGCACUGGAGUUCACCAUGCACUGAAAUUCACCACGCACAGGAGUUCACCAUGCACUGGAGAUCACCAUGCACUGGAGUUCACCAUGCACUGGAGUUCACCAUGCACUGGAGUUCACCAUGCACUGGAGUUCACCAUGCACUGGAGUUCACCACGCACUGGAGUUCACCACGCUCAAGAGUUCACCACGCACAGGAGUUCACCACGCACAGGAGUUUACCACGCACAGGAGUUUACCACGCACAGGAGUUCACCAUGCACAGGAGUUCACCACGCACAGGAGUUCACCAUUAGUAAACUAGCAGCCAAUGGUCUUACAUGGUCAUUACUUCGCUAUCCACUAUUCUCCACAGCAUGGAUGAAACCCGUGAACUCCAUGAAUGAGUUUAUUGAAUAUUUCAGUGAUUGUAUCUAUGCAUCACGAAUGGAACCCUAUUCUCUAUAUAGUACACUACUACACUACACCAGAGCCCUAUGA